rnacentral:rRNA from 1 species
UGAGUACAAGAUGCUACGGCAUUGAAGCAGUCUAUGUCAUACUUCCAAGAAAAGCUUGCAAUGUCAUAAACAAAUAAUGCCUGUACCAUAACCGACACAGGUGGGUAGGUAGAGUAUACUAAGGGGCGCGAGAUAACUCUCUCUAAGGAACUCGGCAAAAUGACUCCGUAACUCCGGGAGAAGGAGUACCUUAUUUUAUAAGGUUGCAAUAACAAGGUCCAAGCAACUGUUUACCAAAAACACAGGUCUCCGCUAAGUCGUAAGACGAUGUAUGGGGGCUGACGCCUGCCCAGUGCCAGAAGGUUAAAGAAGUUGGUUAGCAUUAGCGAAGCUGAUAACUGAAGCCCUGGUGAACGGCGGCCGUAACAAUAACGGUCCUAAGGUAGCGAAAUUCCUUGUCGGGUAAGUUCCGACCCGCACGAAAGGCGUAAUGAUUUGGAUACUGUCUCGGAGAGGGGCUCGGUGAAAUAGACUUGUCUGUGAAGAUGCGGACUACCUGCACCUGGACAGAAAGACCCUAUGAAGCUUUACUGUAACUUGAGAUUGAAAUUGGACUUUAUUUGCGCAGUAUAGGUGGGAGACCUCGAAAGUAUUCUUGCGGGAAUAUUGGAGUCAUCAGUGAGAUACCACUCUUAUAAUGUUAGAUUUCUAACUUUGUAUCAUUAUCUGGUCAAAGAACAGUUUCAGGCGGGCAGUUUGACUGGGGCGGUCGCCUCCCAAAUGGUAACGGAGGCGCACAAAGGUUUCCUCUGAACGUGUAGAAAUCGUAUCUAGAGUGUAAAGGCAUAAGGAAGCUUGACUGUGAGACCUACAAGUCGAGCAGGGACGAAAGUCGGUCUUAGUGAUCUGACGGUGCUGAGUGGAAAGGCCGUCACUCAACGGAUAAAAGUUACUCUAGGAUAACAGGCUGAUCUCCCCCAAGAGUUCACAUCGACGGGGAGGUUUGGCACCUCGAUGUCGGCUCAUCGCAUCCUGGGGCGGUAGUACGUCCCAAGGGUUGGGCUGUUCGCCCAUGAAAGCGGUACGCGAGCUGGGUUCAGAACGUCGUGAGACAGUUCGGUCCAUAUCCGGUGUAGGCGUUAGAAUAUUGAGAGGAGCCUUCUUUAGUACGAGAGGACCGAGAAGGACAUACCUCUGGUGUACCAGUUAUCGUGCCAACGGUAAACGCUGGGUAGCUAUGUAUGGAGAGGAUAACCGCUGAAAGCAUCUAAGUGGGAAGCCCACCUCAAGAUAAG